GGAGAUGUAGUUCAGUGGUAGAACAACUUGUCAACAGGGCCGCCACCCCUAAUGGGAUGGGUCUGGUCUGGCAAGGUUAGACCUAGCGUUCGAUUCCUAGCGUCUCCC